UUGGACUAACUGAUCUCCAAGGUGCCUUCAGCUUUAAGCUGUCUCAUGUGAUCCCAUUGCUUACAUAUAACAUGCAGGAGCCCCAGUUUAGCCAGCCAGCCAGUCUUCACAUUUCCCUAAUAGACUCUGGCCUCAGAAGUCACCCCUGGUGCUAAGGAGCAAGGGCUACUUGCUUAGGCUCCUGUCGCUGUAACCCAGUCACGAGCUGAACUCACCUCCCCAGGGUUUGCUGUGCUGUCACAGUUGUAUGGCUGCCCUUUCUCAGGAGGUGACCCUUCUUUGUGUUACUUGAAAAGACAGUAGCAAGAAGCAGAGGGGAGUAAGUGCCAUGUUCCCCUCACCCCACAGCCCACCAUUACACUGCCUCAUGUUCUCGGGCAGUGGUACCCAUCUCCAUGAGAAAUGGGUGGCAGCGGCUCCUGAGCCCUUGCUGGUCCUCUUAGGCACGCUGAGCCUGUUGGGAGUGGAAGGCCUGGUGCUAGCCACUCAAUAGGGACAGUCGCCACGGUCUCCAUGUAGUAAGUAAGGCCUAUGAAGAGGUUAAGUCAGUCUUUCCUGGUGCUUUUUGAUUGGCUUAAUCAAUUAUUACUCAUCUUAGAUGGGGCUGUAACUUGUGGAGUGGAUACAAUUGGAUUAGGUGAAGAGAGACAGUUGGGGAGCUUUGAAGAGAUUAAAAUGGCUGCCGAUCCCAUAAUUAAACUGCCACAAACAAAAGCAAUGGUGUUUUAAACAAAAACAAGGAAAGAAAGAGAAAGAAAGAAAACUUGGGGAAUCCAACGGAUUUGAAAUGAACCAACAAGUGUUUGUGAGUCUGAGAUGGAGGAAGCGACCCAAACCUGACUAAUCGAUUCCAUGAAAGAAACCUGCCUUUAACUCUGGGGCGAGCAGAGAGGAGUUGCUUAAACCAAUGGGACUAAAACCUGACGGGACAAUAACGCCUUUGGAGGAAGCGCUCAGCCAGUAUUCUGUCAUCGAAGAGACCAGCUCGGACACAGACUGAAAGCGCCGUCACCUGCUCCCUCUCAAUAUGGCUUUUAUCAGCAUCUUUUCUCUGUAGCUCCAGGGGAAUCUUCUCUAGAACGUUUAUGCCCUCGCUUUGGCUAGAAACACAUUAACUGGUUUACUCAUCGGGAAUCCAGCAUAUUUAAGAGGUAAUCCUGUGUUUUCUGCAACAUUGAGGCAUUCGUACAGAGCUGCAGUCAGGCAGAGUUGCGGGGCUAGAAGCAGAAGCUGCCAUCCCAUUGCACCAGGACGGAGGAUGGGACUUCACUUGGCAAAGCAGCCCUGGUCAAAUCUGGCAGUCCUAUUGCCGGGAAUUCCUAGCCGAAGAUUCGGCCGUGUCCUUCCACCCAUCGUAUAAACCGCCCCUCUGAGUCUCUCCAGCGACCCAAGGCACAGGAGAGUCCGAGGAGCUGCUAAACAAGGGCUGAGGCAAGCAACUCCUUAGGUCAGCGCUGACUGAAUGGAAGCCAGGCAGCUGCUCCGAAAGCCUAGCCCCACCCUUCAUUUCAGUUUUAUACAAAUGUGGAAACACACACAUACACGCACGCAUACGCGCGCGCGCGCGCACAC
rnacentral:lncRNA from 1 species